rnacentral:miRNA from 1 species
UUUCACUAGAACGCUGGUUC